AAAAACGAUGUGAAGGACUAUGUGCAGGCUUGUUCAGUUUGUGCUGUUUCUAAGGUCCCUCAUAAGCUUCCUUGUGGUUUGUUGCAACCACUUCCUGUACCUAGUGUUCCAUGGUCCCACUUGUCAAUGGACUUCAUUGUUGAACUUCCAAGUUCCAAUGGCUAUACCACCAUUCUUAUGGUGGUUGACCGUUUCUCCAAGAUGGCUCAUUUUAUUCCACUUAAAAAAUUGCCAUCCUCUCAAGACCUGGUUCUUAUCUUUAUACGUGAGAUUGUCCGACUGCAUGGCAUUCCUCACAAUAUUGUGUCU